AGCGUAGGCCGUCAGGCAAGCGUGUUGUGAAAUGUCGUGGCUCAACCAUGGACUUGCAGCGCGAACUGCCCGACCUGAGUGCGCAGAAAGCAGGCGGAAUUUGUGGUGUAGCGGUGAAAUGCUUAGAUAUCACGAAGAACCCCGAUUGCGAAGGCAGCCUGCUGUAGCGCUACUGACGCUGAAGCUCGAAAGUGCGGGUAUCGAACA
rnacentral:rRNA from 1 species